rnacentral:rRNA from 1 species
AUUCAGUGGCAAGGUUAACCGUAUAGGGGAGCCGUAGCGAAAGCGAGUCUUAACUGGGCGCUCAGUCUCUGGAUAUAGACCCGAAACCGGGUGAUCUAGCCAUGGGCAGGUUGAAGGUUGAGUAACAUCAACUGGAGGACCGAACCGACUAAUGUUGAAAAAUUAGCGGAUGACUUGUGGCUAGGGGUGAAAGGCCAAUCAAACUCGGAGAUAGCUGGUUCUCCCCGAAAGCUAUUUAGGUAGCGCCUCGGACGAAUACUACUGGGGGUAGAGCACUGUUAAGGCUAGGGGGUCAUCCCGACUUACCAACCCUUUGCAAACUCCGAAUACCAGUAAGUACUAUCCGGGAGACACACGGCGGGUGCUAACGUCCGUCGUGGAGAGGGAAACAACCCAGACCGCCAGCUAAGGUCCCAAAGUAUUGCUAAGUGGGAAACGAUGUGGGAAGGCUCAGACAGCUAGGAUGUUGGCUUAGAAGCAGCCAUCAUUUAAAGAAAGCGUAAUAGCUCACUAGUCGAGUCGGCCUGCGCGGAAGAUGUAACGGGGCUAAGCAAUACACCGAAGCUGCGGCAAUAUCUUUUAGAUAUUGGGUAGGGGAGCGUUCUGUAAGCCGUUGAAGGUGAAUCGUAAGGUUUGCUGGAGGUAUCAGAAGUGCGAAUGCUGACAUGAGUAACGACAAAGGGGGUGAAAAACCUCCUCGCCGGAAGACCAAGGGUUCCUGUCCAACGUUAAUCGGGGCAGGGUGAGUCGACCCCUAAGGUGAGGCCGAAAGGCGUAAUCGAUGGGAAACGGGUUAAUAUUCCCGUACUUCUGACUAUUGCGAUGGGGGGACGGAGAAGGCUAGGUGGGCCAGGCGACGGUUGUCCUGGUUCAAGUGCGUAGGCUUGAGAGUUAGGUAAAUCCGGCUCUCUCUAAGGCUGAGACACGACGUCGAGCUGCUACGGCAGUGAAGUCAUUGAUGCCAUGCUUCCAGGAAAAGCCUCUAAGCUUCAGAUAGUCAGGAAUCGUACCCCAAACCGACACAGGUGGUCGGGUAGAGAAUACCAAGGCGCUUGAGAGAACUCGGGUGAAGGAACUAGGCAAAAUGGUACCGUAACUUCGGGAGAAGGUACGCUCUUGAUGGUGAAGUCCCUCGCGGAUGGAGCUGACGAGAGUCGCAGAUACCAGGUGGCUGCAACUGUUUAUUAAAAACACAGCACUGUGCAAAAUCGCAAGAUGACGUAUACGGUGUGACGCCUGCCCGGUGCCGGAAGGUUAAUUGAUGGGGUUAGCGCAAGCGAAGCUCUUGAUCGAAGCCCCGGUAAACGGCGGCCGUAACUAUAACGGUCCUAAGGUAGCGAAAUUCCUUGUCGGGUAAGUUCCGACCUGCACGAAUGGCGUAAUGAUGGCCACGCUGUCUCCACCCGAGACUCAGUGAAAUUGAAAUCGCUGUGAAGAUGCAGUGUACCCGCGGCUAGACGGAAAGACCCCGUGAACCUUUACUACAGCUUGGCACUGAACAUUGAACCUACAUGUGUAGGAUAGGUGGGAGGCUAUGAAGACGUGACGCCAGUUGCGUUGGAGCCGUCCUUGAAAUACCACCCUUGUAUGUUUGAUGUUCUAACUUAGACCCAUUAUCUGGGUUGAGGACAGUGCCUGGUGGGUAGUUUGACUGGGGCGGUCUCCUCCCAAAGAGUAACGGAGGAGCACGAAGGUGGGCUAAUCACGGUUGGACAUCGUGAGGUUAGUGCAAUGGCAUAAGCCCGCUUAACUGCGAGAAUGACGGUUCGAGCAGGUGCGAAAGCAGGUCAUAGUGAUCCGGUGGUUCUGUAUGGAAGGGCCAUCGCUCAACGGAUAAAAGGUACUCCGGGGAUAACAGGCUGAUACCGCCCAAGAGUUCAUAUCGACGGCGGUGUUUGGCACCUCGAUGUCGGCUCAUCACAUCCUGGGGCUGAAGUCGGUCCCAAGGGUAUGGCUGUUCGCCAUUUAAAGUGGUACGCGAGCUGGGUUUAGAACGUCGUGAGACAGUUCGGUCCCUAUCUGCCGUGGGCGUUGGAAGAUUGAAGGGGGCUGCUCCUAGUACGAGAGGACCGGAGUGGACGAACCUCUGGUGUUCGGGUUGUGUCGCCAGACGCAUUG